AUUGAACGCUGGCGGCAUGCUUUACACAUGCAAGUCGAACGGUAACAGGUUAAGCUGACGAGUGGCGAACGGGUGAGUAAUGCAUCGGAACGUGCCCGAUCGUGGGGGAUAACGCAGCGAAAGCUGCGCUAAUACCGCAUACGAUCUGAGGAUGAAAGCGGGGGACCGUAAGGCCUCGCGCGAUCGGAGCGGCCGAUGUCAGAUUAGGUAGUUGGUGGGGUAAAGGCUCACCAAGCCGACGAUCUGUAGCUGGUCUGAGAGGACGACCAGCCACACUGGGACGGAGACACGGCCCAGACCCCUACGGGAGGCAGCAGUGGGGAAUUUUGGACGAUGGGCGAAAGCCUGAUCCAGCCAUUCCGCGUGCAGGAUGAAGGCCCUCGGGUUGUAAACUGCUCUUGUACAGAACGAAAAGGUUUCUACUAAUACUAGGAGCUCAUGACGGUACUGUAAGAAUAAGCACCGGCUAACUACGUGCCAGCCGCCGCCGUAA
rnacentral:rRNA from 1 species